UGUUCUAUGAUAGCACUAUUAGAGUAUCUGUCUGUCUGGUGUUUCAUUUUUACCAAAACACUUUGCGACCAACUUGAAAAAGAACUUGGAUGGCUGUAAAGUGUAAAGAAGAGUUUACUUCAUAUGUAUUUUUGGUCAAUAUUUUUUGGUCUUUAUUCUUAAGGUAAUAUCUUCAACUUAAGGUUUCGUGUGUCAUGGGUGCUUGUGACAAUAGAGAUGAAAUUGUCCAUUUCAAGCCGUGUCUUACAAAACUAAGGAAAUUCUAUUUGCAAGAGUUCAACCUACAGACGGGCCGGCAAGUUUGCAUGUCCUUCACGCUUGAAGGUCGCGGGAAACAUAACGAGUAUUACUGUCAAUGCGGUGUUGUAGAGUUUGGGUGAGAAUUAAUUGGACGUGUUGCAUCAUUAUCAAGCAGACCCAUCCCCAGCAACGUCAACCUAAAGAAGGAAAGGCUAGUUUUCAUUUC
rnacentral:lncRNA from 1 species